rnacentral:rRNA from 1 species
GAUGAACGCUCGCGGCGUGCCUAAUACAUGCAAGUCGAGCGAACAGACGAGGAGCUUGCUCCUCUGACGUUAGCGGCGGACGGGUGAGUAACACGUGGAUAACCUACCUAUAAGACUGGGAUAACUUCGGGAAACCGGAGCUAAUACCGGAUAAUAUAUUGAACCGCAUGGUUCAAUAGUGAAAGACGGUUUUGCUGUCACUUAUAGAUGGAUCCGCGCCGCAUUAGCUAGUUGGUAAGGUAACGGCUUACCAAGGCAACGAUGCGUAGCCGACCUGAGAGGGGGAAGGGCCCACCGGGAGCUGGAAAGCGGCCCAGACGCCGAGGGGAGGCAGCGUGAGGGAAUGUUCCGAAAGGGGGGAAGCGUGACGGAGCAACGCCGCGUGAGUGAUGAAGGUCUUCGGAUCGUAAAACUCUGUUAUUAGGGAAGAACAAAUGUGUAAGUAACUAUGCACGUCUUGACGGUACCUAAUCAGAAAGCCACGGCUAACUACGUG